AACCUACAUUUAUUGUUUUGUUAUGACAUGUGACAAUUGCGUCAAGUGUCUUGUGUGUGGGUGUUCUUUUCGAGUGUUUGUUAUUUCUUUUUGUUUAUAAAGUAAAAAUUUAAUUAUUAUAACAUGGAAGAAUUAUUUCAAGAAAUUGAAUCAAUUGAACGUACAUUUAUAAUGAUUAAACCCGAUGGAGUACAACGAGGACUUAUUGGAAAAAUAAUUCAACGUUUUGAAGAAAAAAAUUUAAAAUUACUAAAUAUUAAAAUGAUAUUGUCUUCUGCAAAUUUGAUGAUGCAACAUUACAAACAUUUGCAAAAUCGUGAUUUUUUUGACAGUUACAUAAAAUAUAUGACAUCCGGUCCUGUAAUUUUAAUGAUUUGGGAAGGAGUAAAUGCUGUGAAAAUAGGAAGACUGAUAAUAGGGCCAACUUUUCCAGAAGAUGCUUUACCGAAAAUGAUUCGUGGAAAUUAUUCAAUUUAUGUUCGUCGCGGUGUAAUUCAUGCAUCAGAUUCAAUUGAAGCCUCUAAUGAAGAAAUUAAAUUAUGGUUUAAUGAUUAUUAGUUUAUAUAAAUUGUUAAAAAAAAUAAAUUUUUAUAUACACUAUAUUAAGAAAAUUCCACUUGAUUCCGUUUUCGAUCUACUUUUCAAGUGACCGGUUUCUGAAGCAGUUGGCAUUUCUUUCUAAAUCUCUUUGCUGACAUUAUUUUAUUUAAUUUCUAACAUUAAAAUGGCAGAAAAUAAAGAACGUACAUUUAUUAUGAUCAAACCCGAUGGAGUUCAACGUGGACUUGUCGGAAAAAUUAU